CUGCCUUUCUGAGGCAGCAUUCUACCUGGGUUUUCAUAACUCCACACUAAGGUACACUUCCACACUAAGUGUUCCCUGUUUUGAGGUAAUUCCUAUACAUUCUGGCUGUGCUGCUAAAUGAUGCUAUGAUCUUGGAUUCUUUUUUUUUUUUUUUUAACCUCUCUGAGCCUUGGUUUCCUCUGUGCUAAUGGGGAUAAUAUACUCUCUCAUGCAGAUGUGUGGAGGGCCAUGGCUGACUUGGAUGCAGUUGGGGUCAUCUCACGGCACAUGGAAUACACAAUUUAUAUUACUUCCUGUCUUGAUAAUGACAUCUUGGUUUUCAUGCUGUCUUAGAACAAGUAGAACUUGACUUACAUGUAAGAUCUGAAGGAGUCAAUCUGUUUCUUCUGUGGCUUCAAGCACUUCAGACAAACUUUGCAGAAGAGCAGGUGCUGAUUUUUUGCUUCCCUUGUGCCUGGUUUCCCAGCGAUCAUGUCAUCCAGAGGGACCUGCAUGGUGGAGACACUCAUCAGUCCUAGCCCUGGUGUGGCGGAUGACAUCCCCCAUUUGAGACCAGCGCCAGUGUAUGUACAUUACUACAACUCAAGACAAUGAAAACAUUUAUAGUAUAAAAAUUCCAUACAUGGCAGUUCACAUUGUUUUUAUUAAAUGGAUUAUAAAUUUCUUUUUGGAAAAAAAGUAUCUAGCUAUAAUCCAAAACACUCAAAAUCGAGUUGCUGUACUGCCCAAAAUCAUACAGGAAUGAAAAGGACUCGUCAUUCCCCAGCAAAUCUGAAGAAAGAAGCGAGAGCAAGAGUAAUGGAGAAAGAGAGUGAGAGGAGCAUCUGAUGAAAUACGAUUUCUUACAAAAGGACUCUUGAAAUGACCAGAGAAAGCAGACCAACAGAAAAGGGCAGACUUUGACCAAGCGGUGCUCAACGACGUGAAUAUCCACAUGGAACAUAAGAGGUUUUAACGUUAUUCCAUACUGAUGUAGCCUACAUACUAAAGAGGACGUCAGAAGUUUUCUGGAAGAUACAAUAGAAAACCAUUUUGAGGAACUGGGGGAGGUGGCAGAGAUGAGUAG